AAGUCGUAACAAGGUUUCCGUAGGUGAACCUGCGAUCCAACGUUAAACCCCCCCGUGAACCUUCAGUGCGCUCGCACUUUCUUAGAAAGUAGCAAUCCCUGGUAAAUCAUUGCCGAACAAUUUUGAUUCAGGGACUUCUGCGUAGACUGUGCUUGAGCGUGAGGCAAGUGGCCUGGCAUUCCUCUGCUUGUUGGUGUCUGAAAGUGUCACCAGCUCUGUACGAAUGGCGCAGUCACGAUCGCUAGAGGCCGACACGGCCGGCGACCGGGUCACUGGGCGCGAGCCCCCCUCGUCACCUUUGCAUGAAAACGGGCCUGCGCUUAAUUGUGCGGCCACCAAACUCGAACAACUGUUAACAAUGGAUAUCUUGGUUCUC
rnacentral:misc_RNA from 1 species